UACGGAGGGUGCAAACGUUGCUCGGAAUCAUUGGGCGUAAAGCGCACGUAGGCGGCCUGAUAAGUCGGGUGUGAAAGCCCUGGGCUCAACCCAGGAAGUGCACUCGAAACUGUCAGGCUUGAAUAUGGAAGGGGGUCGCGGAAUUCCCGGUGUAGAGGUGAAAUUCGUAGAUAUCGGGAGGAACACCAGUGGCGAAGGCGGCGACCUGGGCCAAUAUUGACGCUGAGGUGCGAAAGCGUGGGGAGCAAACAGG
rnacentral:rRNA from 1 species